GCCCUACCCCCCUGGAGCGUGACCUCCGUAAGGAACAGAUCGUCUGCUAACUCUCCGAGGCGAGCUGGCCUUUAGGAAACUUCACAUCCACCCCGAGACACGUGGGCGGGUGGGGACCUGGGAAGGGGCAGGGACUCGGCUGGCAGGCAACAGCCUGGGGGGAACCCUUGUGCGCCCCCCUCCUUGUUCCCAGGUGCCGGUGCUGAGCUGAGGCUCAGUGAUACCGACCUACAGCACCUCGACUAUUGCAAAGGGCAAACAGAUGUGACCUGUAAUACAUGACAUACAUAGAGCCCGUCUGUAUUGUCCGUUGCUUAACCUAAUAUGUAUUAUAUGGUUUCAUCAUAUGGAGUACUUAACGUGUAUUUAACAGCUAGUUCCUCUAUUACAUUAGCAUUAUAUUGCGUAUUUAACGUAUUGUAUGUUGUGUAUAGUUCUGGGUAUAUAUUUCCAUAUAUUUCAUUUUUAUAUGUGUGUGUAAAAAUAUUUGGGGCGCCUUUAAUCUCCCUGCAAGCGCAUACUUGAUCGUUUGAACGCAACGUUAUAAACUCCUAAUCGAAACCACUGUCACAUCAGCGAUGUCUUUAGAACAAAUACCCCGGAGUCCACUUUCGGCUCCAGGGGAAGGCGGGGGGCGGUCACUGGGCGGAAAGGGACAGCAGGUCCCCCUGAAACCUGGUUUCCAAAUGCCCGUCCCCGGGGACAGAGGAGACCGCGCUCCGAUCCCAGCGGCGCCGCCUCCCCUCCUCGCCGCGCUGUGCUGGUUGUUUUGGUUUGGAGAGCGGCUGUUUAGAGCCUGGGACGGUCCCGAAACCGGUGCCAUGAAUUAAAAAUGAAUCUGGGAGCGCAGCAUAUGCUCCGCCGGGGCGUCUGGGAGAGCAGCGAGGCCUCCCGCCCCGCGUUCCGGGCUGCAGACGCCGCGCUGGCGGGCUCCGGCCUCCGCGCCGAUGCGGGCGCAGCAGCGCUCCGGGCUCCGGGCUCCGGCGGGUCCCCGCUCCAGCUGCCCGCCCUCCUGACCCCACGCCCGGGGGCGGGGGGUGCUGCGCGGGGCUCGGAGCGCCUGCAGAUCAGGGGGUCCCAACUCCAAUCCGCUCCUAAUACCGACCCAGAGCUAACGUGAGCCGGCAGCGGGGCGCUCCAGCGACGGCAGGGCCAGGUGGGCCGGGAGAACGAAGUCGGGAUUUCAGUUGUCCUUACGCUAUCGCUGCUUUAAAAGGCAGGAGCCGAGCCGCAUAGAGAUCCAGCUUACGGAGGGAAAAAGGAAAAGGGGGGGGGAUCGAAGUCAGGUGUGGCCCACUAAAGGUUCAGAAAUGAGAAAUAACCUCACUUUACAAACCGAUACGCAGAAGGCGCUGCUUCGGAGGCCUGGGAGUCAGGGUGGGAAAUUGAGGUGGGGGAGGGGCGCAAGAAAGACCUCCGGAAGGGGGAAGAGGGGCCGGCGACCGCCAGAGUGCUGUGGGCCGUUUAUUUCUUGCAGUGCCCCCUCCCAAUGGCUACCUGGGGAACAUUGGCAGAACAAAACAGUGAAAUUUGGCUAAAACCUCACCAAGAGGUUUGGGCUCCCCACUUGCAGCAAAACCCCAGAUUCAACCCCAAGCCCGCCCCUGAUCUAGUCGGAUCCUCAGCCUCCGCUAAAGGUUUUUGUGGACUUUAAUGAAGAAUGCAGGCUGCGCCCUCCCUGCCCUGUCCAGGGAUGGGGCUCCCAGACUCUUUGCAAAGAGGAACUGCCGACCCCUCCCCUUCCCCAGUGGCGGCAGCCUCCUGGCCUGGCUGCAAGGGAGGCAUCUGAACACACACAGGAUGCCAAGCCCUUCAGAUGCAGAGCGGAUCCCAGUGCCAACCAUGUGGGUGUGCAUCCCCCCCAGAUCGGCCUUGGCACAUCUGGCCCGCCUGCAGUGUUUUCCCCAUCCAGGCACCCAGCUGGGUGGCGGAGCCAUAAAGGAAAGAGAACCAGAAGUUGCCCCUUAUCUGUGUUCACAUGAUAUAGUCAGAGACCAUAGAGUAGAUGUAGAUUUUAUCUGCAAUUGUAGAUUCUGCUCUAUAGCCAUUUGCCUUGUGCACCUCACUAAAACCCAAACGUGGGAUCAAAAGUUUAAAGUUUAAUCAUGUGUUUUUUUUCAUGAUUUUAAUAGAAUUUUUAACCCUGGCUUUAGAUGAUGUUUCUUCUUUGCUAAGAUCCAAGGGGAAGAGCUUGAGGUUGGAGGAAUCCUUUGGUCAAAGGGUUCCAUAUCCAAAAGGAUAACCAAGAAUCCAGGCAGGAAGUGCCUUGAGGAGUCUUUGACCUUGAGCUGAUGGGACCAAGUACCUUGCCCUCACUUAUUCACUCUCCACAAGAGCCACAUCCCCUCCCUCCAUGAAAAAAAAAACCCACACCUUUAUUUUUGUCUCAUUAUUAUAAAAUUAUAUGUAUCUAUUGUUUAUAUUAGACCAGAUAUGAAAAAAGUAAUGAUCACUUAAAUUCCCACAUCUUAGAAAAGAAAUUAGAUUAUGUCUAUUCCUUUUUGUUUCAUUAUUCUAGUAAAUAAAGGAAGGGAAACAGGCUAUGUGUGAUUCUGUUUAUAUGAAGUUUGUGACUGAAUUCAGAAUAGUGGUUGCCCUGGGAGAGGAUUGACUGGAAAGAGGGCUCUGGGUGAGCCAGGGAAUUUGGGGGGAAAGGGGACUAAAAUGCUCUAUAUCUUGACUUGGGUGAUGGUAACACAGAUGUAUACAACUGCCAAAACUCACCGGACUUAAGACCUAUGUGUUUUACUAUAAAUUUUUAUAUCUCAAUAAAAAAAGAACCUUGAACAAAUAUUAUAGCAAAAGACCUAAGAAGAAGAAGGAAAAGACAAGCCACACAGAAUACCUAGAAUUUUACAGAAAGAGAUACCAGGCUUCCCCCCACCCAGUCCCACCCCCAGUACACCAGCUUCUCCCAGCACCCAACACCCUUUGCAGGCCUGCCGUUAAAUCCAAGAGGGCUGGUCCCUGAGAAGGCAAUGCAAUCUUAAGAUCCUGCUGGGGUUCACCAUCUGCCAGACUCUUUUUUUCAAUGCUCUGCAUUUUCUGAUAGGGGUGGGGGUGCCUGGGAGCCUAACAAGAAUCUGAGCUUGAGUCAGGAAGGAUGAUCAAAGGUCUUAACUUUCAUAAAGAUGAUACCCCAAAAGUUUCUUUCUUAGGAAACUGGUGGUCAGUGCGCUCCCACAGGGGGAGCGCCGCUCAGCCAGAAGCCAGGCUCACAGCUGGUGAGUGCAGCAGUGGUGGUGGGAACCUCUCCCGCCUCCGCUGCAGGUAGGCAGUAAGGAGCCAGAGAGGGUGCAGGCCAGGCUGAGGGACACCCCCCCACCCACCCACCGCAGUGCACGAAAUUUUGUGCACCAGGCCUCUAGUGUUAUAAAUAAUGGUCAAGGUUCCAGAUUUGUCCUCCCCCAAAAAUCUAUUGCAUGCCUACUCAUAAAAUACAGAAUUUUAAGCUUGGUAGGAACAUAAGUGUAUUGAAUUAUUGUGGUUGCGUGCCAUGGAAAAAUGGGAGGAAACUAAAUCUCCUCUCUCCCCCUCCCCCAUAAAAAACAAUAUACCAGCUUUCUGCUGCCAGGCAUUAUAUUGGCAUUUGGGAUUUAAAAAUGAAAAAUACCUCAUGAUAUUUUCCCUCAAGCAGCUCACUGUUGAAAAGACUAUCUUGUAAAUAAAUAAGUGCAAUAAAAAUCAUAUAGGUGUUGUGAUCGAGGCUGUUAUAAUAAAACAGAAAAAUAGAGUGAGUGCUUGUUGGCAAAGGAAAACAAACACGUUUUUGAAGCCCUGAGGGCUGAUGGGAUGAGGAAUUAGAUUCAGACCUAUAGAGAGACCCUAAGGGGUCAUGGGGCCCGUGGAAGGGGAAGGGCCCUAGAUCUGCUUCCACUUGGAAUUGUACGUCUUCCCUUUUCACUGCGGUCAGGGCAUGAGUUUGACUUCUCCGUCAUGCUUGGGGCUGGUUGUUCGUUUUUGACUUUUCACCUUAUUUGAAGGGAGUCGAGGUGGGCAAGACUCGCAAUUCCAAAGAGAAAGGAAAGAAAACUUAGAAGGUAGAGAAACGUAGGAGAAGGAAUGUCACAGGCGGUUUGACCCAGCAGUGAGAGAGGAAAAAGCAUAACCCCAACCCUGGGGAAGAAAGAAAAGGCCGUUCUCCACACCGGUCACCGCGUGGUGGAGGUGGCUGGGGACCCCGUGGUUGCCGUCUCGAAAGCAGAGUGGGGAGGAGGCCCUGUGCCCCCAGAGGUAUCGGACCACCUGAAGCCACAUACUCCUUCAUUCAGCCCGUUUUGUGCGUUUACCAUUUGUAAGGAAAUUUGCAAUUGACCUGUAAUUAACAGGGUUAAAGAUUUAGUGAAUUACGGUCCUUGCCUUGGAGGACUAGUUGGGAAACUAGACAACUGUUAUUUAACGUGCCCAGACAUAAGCUCUCCUGUUUUUCCCUCCUGAUGCUGUUCUCACCGGUGAGUUGGGGGUAAUAACGAUGCAGGAUCUAAUAACCUCACACCAUUGUUCUGAGGAUAGAAUGCGAUGAGGGUAUAGAAACUCCUCUGUCAAGUGCAGGCUUCAGACAAGCAUGCAUCGCUAGAAUGGUGUUCAGCUAUGUUCUCCCCUUGCUGUUCAAGUAGUCAUUCAACCAACAUUUACUGUGCACGUACGCUGAGCAGGCACUGCUCUGGCACGGAGCGGUAAAGAGAACAGACACAACCUCUGUCCUGCGGAGCUGGCAUUCCCCAGUAGGACGUCUGCUGACGUAAAUAAAAAGAUUCAUCAGGCCCGGCCGGUGUGGCUCAGUGGUUGAGCAUCGCCCUAUGAGCCAGGAGGUCAUGGUUCGAUUUCCAGUCAGGGCACAUGCCAGGGUUUCGGGCUUGAUCCCCAGUGUGGGGUGUGCAGGAGGCAGCCAAUGAUUUUCUGUUAUCAUUGAUGCUUCUAUUUCUCUCCUUCUCCCUU